rnacentral:lncRNA from 9 species
UAUAAGGAAGUGUACCUAAAGAAAAAAUCAGAGCACUUUGGUGGCACUAAGGACACAUGUUCUAGUUUUCAUAGGUAUUGCUAAGUUACUCUUCAAAGAGAUCGUAACAGUUUUUACACUUAAUGUUUGAACGUGUAUUUUUCCCACUGCCUCACCAACACCAUAUAAUGAAAACCUUAACAGUUUUUUGGCCACUUUUAAUAUAUGAAAUCUUAGAGUUUCCUGGUGGUUCACUGGGUUAAGGACCCAGCAUCGUCAUUGCUGAGGCUCAGGUCACUGCAGUGGCAUAGGUUUGAUCCCUGGCCUGGAAACUUGGCCUACACCACAGCCACAGCAAUGCAGGAUCAGAGCCGCAUUUGCGACCUACACCACAGCUCAUGGCAACACCAGAUCCUUAACCCACUGAGUGAGGCCAGGGAUCAAACCUGCAUCCUCAUGGAUCCUAGUCAGGUUCAUUAACUGAUGAGCUGUGAAGGGAACUCCUGCCUGGAAACUUCCAUACGCCAUUGUUUUGGCCAAAAAAAGGUAUCUGGUUUCUUCAUAGAUAUCCCAGGGCCAGCCAAGGUCCCACAUGGGCCAACCGUCUCCAGAUUGAUUUGGACAUUUCCCAAAUCACCUCUUCCAUCAGAACUUUCCACAAUGGCAAAGGUAUUCUGUAUCUGCACUGGCCAAUGGCCACUUGUGGCUAUUGAGCACUGAAAAUGAGGUUGCUGUAGGAGAUCCUGUUGUGGCUCGGCGGGUUAUGAAACCGACUACUACCCAUAAGAAUGUGGGUUCAAUCCCUGGCCUCCCUUAGUGGGUUAAGGAUCCCAUGUUGCCUGGGAGCGGCAGUAUAGGUAGCAGAUGAGACUCAGAUCCCAAGUUGGUGUGGCUGUAGUGUAGGCUGGCAGCUGCACCUCCAAUUCAACCCCUAGCCUGGGAACUUCCAUAUGCCACAGGUUCUUGCAGUAGAUGGAGAACCAGAGGAGGGCAACUGGGGGAAGAGUGAAAUCUCAGUCUCAAGGGCAUAUUCACCACUCAAUUCAACAGGAAAGAGGAACUCCAGGACUUUUGCUUUGAUAGCUAGUAUGAUGGCAGUUUUUCAGCUCCUGUUCUGAUAAAGUAAGUUGUAUCUGUUGCAAUUUCCAGGAAGACUAUACCGGAAAAAAAUCUCUGGACUGUCAUUUAUGAACUGGGAAAAAGAGCUUAGAGUCUUUAGAGUCAUCUUAGAAUAUAAGCAUUCUUUUGAAAGGGUAUAAACCAGCCAUUAACAUGCUGUUCUUUAGGCAAACACCGGGUCCCUGUUCUUGUGUUUGUUUUGAGGAUUUUCCAGAAAGAGAAAAACAGUCUGCUACUACUUAUAAUUUUCCUUGCUCUGAGUGAGUGAAGAUUAAAAUUAACUUAAAAAUAUAUUGCCAAGUAUUUUGGAAAGAACCAUAUAGAUCUACCUAGCUAUCACUGGGUUGAUUAGUAGUCAAAAUUCCCCAUUCCUCAUUGCUGCCUGUUUCCAGGCACUUCUGCGAUAUGAUUUUGCAGCUCUUCUUAUCAAGAGGUGAAGUCGACUUCUUGCUUACAAAUCUGGGCUGACCUUUCAAUUUACUUUGUUCAGUAAAAUGCAGUGAAAGUGAAGACAUGCCAGUUCUGAACCUAAGCUCAAAAGGUCUUGCAUCCUUCCAUUCUCCUUCAUAGGAUCUUCCACUGACAUGUGAAUAAGUCUGGACUAACUAGCCUGCUGGAAGAUGAUAGGGCAUAGCCACUGGAGAGAGGCCCUUGGUCAUUUUAUCUGUUCCAGGUGAGACCAACACAGACCAGCCAACUACACACCACCUGACUACAGAACAUCUGAGGGAACCCAGUCCAACCAAGCCCAGGCCAUAUCAGCCAAGUCCACUUCCACCUGUAAAAAUAAGAAAUGGUGGUUGUUUUAUGCAACUGGAUUUGGGAGGUGAUUUGUUACAAUAUUGCUGUGGCUAUACCAACAGUUGUCACAGUUGACAUUUUUAAUGUCAUUUAACAUUCCCGAUGGAAAAAAGUAGUUUUUGAAGUCAUAAUCAGAUUAAGCUCCUUGGAAUCAGAGUCUAUCAGAGAUGGAAGGAACAUUAGCAUCAGUCCUUGACUACAGGGAAAGUUUUACAGCUGAAGAAAUGGAAGCCUAGAGAAGGAAAGUAAGUGAUCUUGGAAUGGGGCAGCCAGUUAAGAGCUGCACAGGACACAGGUCUCCUGUCUCCAAGGUCUUUGCAAGUCCUCAGCCUGUUCUUUCAUGAAUACAUUCUGAGUUUUGCUUGUCUGCCAACCAGCAAGCUUUUGAAAACACAGCUUUAAAAAGGAGAUUACAUUCACAGAGACCAGUGCUUCCGACUCUACAAUCUGAUUCUUUGAUUUCUAAAGGCCCUCUCAAUUCUUUGUUGAAAGAAAUCCCAACUUUGACAUUUACCUUUUAUGAAAAGAUUAAUAAACAGCCUUCACCAUCAUCAUAGCAUUUCUUACUUAAGCAUUAUGUCCAUUGGGAAUCUGUCAAAAAUUGUGCAUGUUAUAAUAAAAAAACGUGAUAUGCUUUCUCCUCACCAUUGAGUGAAUUUCUUCACUGGUGUGUAUUCACUUCUCUGGCAAGUUAGUAACUCAGCUCGCUUGUUUGCUCCUAUUCUUUCUUAAGCUCUGGUGGUCAUUGUUUGCAUCUCAGAGUUUAUAUUUUCAUGUAAAUGAUUUGAUUUGAAUUUCCCAAUAACCCAUUUUUAUCCCCAGCAAGAAAACUGAGGCUUAAAGCAGUUCUGUGAUUUGUACCAGGUCAUGUGGACUGGAGGGAAAAUGGCUAGGUCAUACUUCCAGAUUUUUAUUCAACAGUUUGAUUUCUAUUGACGACGUCACCUUGCCAAUCUAUCAUUUGCAUCUGUUGGCUGUGUCCAGGCACCAGUCAUGCCCAAUUUCCCCUUUCUUACUGAAAUACCCCAGGCCAAAGCUGUCCUAAGGAAACAGCCCCGCACUCCUCUUGGCAGAGGAGUCUUCCAUGAGGGGUGAUCUCAGAUUGGGGGCCCUUCUCUUUAGUUACACAGUGGGCCAAGACUUAGAUGUUUAUGUCAGCAGCUGCUAUAUGUACACAUAUGCAUGUAACUUUGAAACCAUAUAUUUUUAAAUUAUUACAUCCUCUGAUAAUGGUUCCAGGACCAGAUUUUGGUCAGAGACCAACAGGGGUCUACUUCCCUCAUUUUUAUCUCCAGAUCAUAAAAAAAUCCAAGAUGAGCCAAGGCACAACUGCUGACCCAGGUGGACAGGUCAGCCUUGUGGAGUACAAGUAGGGGUCAAAGUAAACCGAUAGUUGAUAUGUCCACUGAAGCAUCUUGUCCAGAAGGCUUUUUUUUUUUUUCUCAUCACACAAGUCUCUUUCUUUACCUAGAGCCUCAAGGAAAUCAGAACUGGCAGAAGCAGUCAGUUUUAAAUCCAGGGCCCUGAAUAAAACUUUGGGAAAGAAUGCAUCACCCACGCUCAAAGCACAAAGCCUCCCCGCCCCUUUCUUCUGGCCUCUGAUACAAAUUGAACAGGGAGAGAACAGAGAAACCAUAACUCUUCCUGUCCCCCCAAGCCCCACUGUUUUGUCAAAAUGGAAAUUGUUUCUAAUCGUCUUCCAACAAGAACACUGUCUGUGGGAGAAAAUAUUUGCAAAUGAAAUGACUGACAAGGGAUUAAUCUCCAAAAUUUAUAAACACCUCCUGCAGCUCAAUACCAAAAGAAAACAAACAACCCCACCAAAAGAUGGGCAGAAGAUCUAAACAGACAACUCUCCAAAGAAGACAUAUGGAUAGCCAAAAAACGCAUGAAAAGAUGUUCAACAUCACUCAUUAUUAGAGAAAUGCAAAUCAAAACUACUAUGAGGUACCACCUUUCACCAGCCAGAAUGGCUGUCAUCAAAAACUCUACAAACAAUAAGUGCUGGAGAGGGUGUGGAGGAAAAGGGGAACCGUAUUACACUGUUAGGGGGAAUGUAAAUUGGUGCAACCACUAUGGAAUACAGUAUGGAGAUUCCUCAGAAAACUAAAAAUAGAAUUACCAUUUGAUCCAGCAACCCCAGUCCUAGGCAUCUAUCCAGAGGAAAUCAUGACUCAAAAAGAUGCAUGUACUCCAGUGUUCACUGCAGCACUAUAUACAAUAGCCAGGACAUGGAAACAACCUAAAUGUCCAUCGACAGCGGGGUGGAUCAAGAAGACAUGGUACCUAUACAUAAUGGAAUAUUACUCAGCCAUUGAAAGGAAAGAAAUAACUGCAUUUGCAGCAACAUGGAUGGACCUAUAAAUUAUCAUGCUAAGUGAAGUUAGUCAGACAGUGAGACACCAGCAUCAUAUGCCAUCACCUACAUGUGGAAUCUAAAAAAACAGACACAGUGAACUUCUUUGUAAAACAGAUACUGACUCACAGGCUUUGAAAAACUUAUGGUUUCCAAAGGAGACAGGAUGGAGGUGGGAGGAUGGACUGGGGUUUGGGGAUGGAAAUGCUAAAAAAUUGGGUAGUGAUGAUUGUUGUACAACUAUAAAUGUAACAAAAUUCAUUGAGUAGUAAAAAAAAUUGGAAACAAAAACAUAUUAUACCUCCUUAGAAUGGAAUAUUAGCCAGUCCUUAAAAAUAACAUUAUUAAAAACUAAAAACUAAAAUAAAUAAAUAAAUAAACACUAUAACACUGUCUAUAACACACUCCACUUAAGCUCAGGGCUUCCAAAAGUUUGGUUAAGCAGCCGUGUACAUGGCAGAACAGUAAUGCC